CAGAAAUAGAAGACAAGAAAGUGACAAACACACAAGCAGAAUCACAAAAUGCAUCCCCUAAGCAAAGGAAGCAGAGCGUGUACACACCGCCCGUCAUGAAAGGUGGUGGGGGAAGUAAUUGAAGAAUUUUGAAUACAGAAGUUUCAUAAUCAAAUGGGGGUUAAGCAUCUGAAAGGCCAGAAUGAAUCAGUAUUCCCUGAAGAAGAAGAAGGCGUAAACGAAAGAGAAGAGCAGUAGGACCAUUAAUUACGGGUCUGCAGCAAGAAGGCUUCUUGGGACUAACUGAACUAUUAACUUUUCUGGAUAUCCCACGGAAUGCCACUGCUCGACUUCCAGAAGUGUGCUCCAUCUCUGCUCUCCACACUCGUCCAGUAGUAAUAAUACACCUCCUGGGAAGGCUUCUUGAUUGAACUUUAGAACUAAGUACAGAUUGUCCCAUAUCACUUACAAAUAAAGAACAAGCAUUUAUUUUACAGUGAUUUUUCUUUUUAAUGACAUAGAAAUUUGCAAACAUGUGAGUGUUCUAACUUUAACACUGCCAAGCUUAAUCGCUGAUGUUCUGUUGAUACAGUUUGCCUUCUAAGGUCAAAUGUAAAUAGCAUCAAUUUAAGAGUAAAAAAUAAAUAUUAAACACAUCUAGACAUGAAUGUGUGUCUGGGUUUAACUUAAGGAGGAAUAUUUAGUGAAACUUUUAAGAUCUGUAUUUAUCAUGUUUCUGUAUACAGAAUUGUACACAGUAUUUAUUUCAAAAUGAUGAAGAGAUGCUAGAUUUCUUGAUUCAAAAGACCAUAAUAUGUUAGUCUUGAGAUAUUUAACAUCUUUUUUCCUUCAACAAUACGUUAAUGGUUAAAGAACCACAGAAUUCUCUUCAUUUCCUAAAUUGUAAGAGAGUGAUUUCCCAGCAUUUCUACUAGUUAUUAAGAAAGAAAAAUGCUAAAUCUAAAAUAAAAAAUGCAAAAUUUCA